rnacentral:rRNA from 1 species
CGCAAUGGGCGAAAGCCUGACGCAGCGACGCCGCGUGGGGAUGAAGGCCUUAGGGUCGUAAACCCCUUUCAGCAGGGACGAAGAUGACGGUACCUGCAGAAGAAGCCCCGGCCAACUACGUGCCAGCAGCCGCGGUAAGACGUAGGGGGCGAGCGUUGUCCGGAAUUAUUGGGCGUAAAGGGCUCGUAGGCGGUUCGGUAAGUCGGAUGUGAAAACUCAGGGCUCAACCCUGAGACGCCAUCCGAUACUGCUGUGACUUGAGUUCGGUAGAGGAGUGUGGAAUUCCUGGUGUAGCGGUGAAAUGCGCAGAUAUCAGGAGGAACACCUACGGCGAAGGCAGCACUCUGGGCCGAAACUGACGCUGAGGAGCGAAAGCGUGGGUAGCAAACAGGAUUAGAUACCCUGGUAGUCCACGCCGUAAACGGUGGGCACUAGGUGUGGGGCCUUAUCAACGGGUUCCGUGCCGAAGCUAACGCAUUAAGUGCCCCGCCUGGGGAGUACGGCCGCAAGGCUA